UCUUAGUGUGUUUAAGAAUGCCUAAUACUUAACCUUGAAAGCUUUGAUUACCAGAGAAGUGCCUUUUUAUCCCCUUUUUUACCAACUUCUGGAAUUGGAGAAUAAUGCUGAUGAACUUUGUCUUUAAUAUUCCUUAUUUUUUAAACGAUAUAUUCACAUUGAUCACAUAAGGGGAACUGUGUGACAAAAGGCUGAUAUGACUUUUAGGACUAAUUCAGAGAUGAUGGCAGUUAAUCUCCAUAGAGACAGUGUCUUCUUUUGUUCCAAAAUUACUUCACCAGUUCCUAUAAAGCAUAACUCCCAUCUUUGAUAUUUCCUGGUCUUCCUUUGUCUGUACAAUACCUUUUAUGAGUGCUUUACUCAGCUGUGUUCCCUCUUAUUCUGCAGGGAUGCAAAAUAUUAAUAGGUGUCCUGAUAUCCUAUGACAUUGAGCAUUACUGUUACAUAUUGCAAUGCUCAAUUUUAAUUAAUUUCUGAAUCUAGAUUAGAGGGUUUUCUAUAUGAUCUCUACUGGCUUUUUCAGUGAUAAAAAAAAAGACUUGGAAACAUGCAGAAAAUAUUUAACAGACAAAUAAAAAUUCCCUUGAUAAACAGUGGAUCCAGUGAUAAUCAAGCUUUCUUUUUUUUUUUUUUUUUUUUUGGGGGGGUAUUAGGUUUUUUCUAUGCCACUUAAAAACUACUUUAUUUCUCUUCCACCAUGUCCUCAAAUAUAACUGCCUUCCAAAGAAGCCAGAUAUGGGUGUUUCCUCUGUGUGAGCUGUGCAGCCAAUCAGUGCAAUAUAGCAGCUGGAAAUGAGGAGGAAAGCUGCCAUCCUGGAACCAGUCAGUGCUCCCCGGGACAACAUCAAGAGAUCCAUGGUUCACUGGCACUCCACAGCCUCUAGUUUGCCUUAGGAAAUGAAUGACUGGUCUCAUUAUCCUGGUAAAUGCCUCAGGGCAAUGAAGAGUCAAAGAAUCAUUCUCUUCAAGCAAUGCACUUUGGGGAAGCUAUCUCUAAGCGGAGUACCUUAGAGUCCUGAGAAAAUCCUUUCCUCAAGAGACUACCUCAUUACCUUUGUGACUAGACUAUCACUGAAUUCCAGAGAGGAGCCAGAACUGGAGAAUUGAUGAGUAGAGAGGAGUCAGGACCCUGCCCCUUUGAAAUACAUACCUUUAUUUGGGAUAAAAUGGCCUUUAUGUCGUGAAUGUUUGGCUUAUUAUAAAACUAUAUUUGCAGAAUGACUGAAAAAACACACAUGCAAAAUGGGCUAGAUUUGAUAGGAUGCAAUAUUAUUUGAAGAAAAAAAUUAUCUCCCUGUGUGUAGGAGGUUUGUCAUUUUUCUUCCUGAGAGAAAAGUGUGGGGAAUAGCAGCACUGCUACAACUUUAAUUUUACUAAAAAUGUGCUAUCUAUAUCUAUAAAUGAAAUCUUUCACAUUGAAGUCUGAGUUUGGAAAGUUAUACAGGAAAAAAAAGGAAAAAGUUGAAGAAAUUUAUUUUAGAACUUACAUCAAAAAUUCACCCACCGUGGAGGGUGGGAGCUUUGACUUAAAUACUAUUAGCUCCCCAUAUUCAGAAUUCAAGAUAUCAGAAUUAUUUUUAGCUACAUUUUUGAGACCUUGAUUGCUGGACACUCCUCAUCACUUUCCCACUAAGCCAGAGUAAGACCAUUAUGGAAACUGCAAGCUCAUACUCACUCCUGUAUUUAAAUAGAUAAACAAACAUGUUCCCAUACAGAUGUGAAACUAGAAUUUCUUAUGUAAGCCAACAAUCUAUUUCUUUAUCUAUUUCUGAAAAAAAGUCUCAUGAUUACUUACCAAAUUUUUAAGCCUCAGAAAUUGAAUUAACCGUAUUGAUUUAAAAGAUUUUGAUAAUGAGGAUGAACAUGUAAGUAACCUGGUCAUUCAUUACCUGUAAAUAUGCUGAGAGAUCUUUUGCUGCAGGUUUUUCAUGCUGUUUCUGUGGUGUAUUUUUGGCAUAUUCUGUACUGCUCAUUUGUGAUAUGGUAAUUUACAGUUAAGCGUCCUCUGGGUUUGAUUUUGUUGUUUUGUUUUGCUUGAAUUGUGUUGGAGUUUUUUUUUUUUUUGGUGGUGUUUUGAUUUUUUUUUUAUUCACUUAAUUUUUCUUGUAUUUGUUCUGAGAUAAAUAUUCAGGCAUUUAGAAAAGAAAGUUCACCCACUCUUUGCAAUACUACUGCUCCCCACCUACAUACCACCUACCCUGCUAAGCUGCCUUGGGUAAAUUGGCAACUAAGAUUUCAGGCAGAAUCUUUCUGACUGUAAUCCCCACUGCCACUGUGAAAUAACUUCCUAGCACCUAUCUCUCAAGGGCAUUUUUCAUCCCAUACUGGAGAGCACUUGCUAAUGCAGUUGUUGAAGCAAACUGUAAGCCACUUCAGUCUAAGAGUUUGAUUCACAAACCUAAAUAAUAUCUGAAAUCCCAGACAUGUUCCCAAAGUACUAAACUGUGGAACAUGCAAAGAGUUUCUGCUCUCCACUCCAUUGUUAAAACCAGAUGCUUAUAAUGAGGAUUGAAACACUGAUGUGUCCAAACUCUGGACAACUAAACUGAACUGAGAUGCCAAUUAGUGACAACACACUAAAAGAAAACCAGACCUAAAGGCAAUUAAUUGUUUAUUUAAAACUUAGAUAUUAAAUUGUCUGAAGUAUAUGAGCUUGAUAUGUGUGUUUUUCAUGUUUUUUAUUUUUGUCUCUGUGUGAAUUUAUUAAGUUCUUUUAAAUUUUUAGGACCCUAAUUUGUGGAUUAGAAUCUAAAAUACUCAUUUCACAGUAGCACCUGCUGAGACAGUCCUCUAAGGCAAUUUCAGCUGUCCUUUGUCUGACUCAGAGGUCCCUCCAACUCAGGACAAUGCUGCUGUCAUUUCCCUAUAUGGGAGCCAAUCUAGUAUUAUGGCUACAUGAACACCUGUGUAUCUAAGCCAACAUUAUGUGCUUCAUUUUGAGAGGUGGCUCUUUCACUUCUAGGCAGUACAUUUUUAAGCACCAUAAUGUUUUAUCUCUUUGCUUACAUUUCAAGGAAUUUAGAGCUAAAUUCACUAUAUAUAUAGAAAGAGAAAUACAUAUGCAUGGUAACACCUCUUAAGUCCAAGACCGUAUAGAAAAGAAAUAUCCUCAUUUGGAUUGCAAAAGUAUCUCUCAGUAGGAAAAAGAAGAAUUAAAAGGCUGUGGUGUUCAAUUAUACCACUCUUCUAUCUGAGAGAUCAUAGUCAGUUUGAAAUAUGCAACAAUUCCAAUUCAGUAACAACCAUCAGUGUUAGGACAAGAAAAAAAACUGAGGAGUUUCAGAACUCAUUUUCUACCUCUUCAUUUUAGGAAAGAUUUUUUUACUUCAUCUCUCUAGGAAUUUUUGAGGACCAUGAGUGUAUUCAUACAUCUUUGUGAGAAAAUAAUGCCUUUCAUAAUUCUCCAAAAGUUAAAGACAAGCAUCUGAGCCUUUCAUCUGUAAUAAUGAGUCCAUCCUGCUCUUAAAGUAUCUUAUGAAUUUUCUAUCCUUUGCAUUAUUUUCAGAUAAACCUUUUAAAAUUCUGUACUACUCUGUGUGAAGAGGGGACUAAAAAGAGCAAAAAAAACCCCACUUUCUGGGAGCAAGAAUUAAGAAGAAACUGUUAAGUGGUUCUAGUGUCUAUAAUUUCUUUAUGCUAAUUAAGAAAAGUUCAGAAUCUGCUUCAGGCUAUCUUGCUCAAAGAGCAAAGACCCAAACAGACAUUGUGUUUUCCAGUUACAGGAUUGCAACUGUAUUGAUUGCCAAAGGUUAUAUGAAGUUUAAGAAUAAUAUAAGUCAUUUGAAUUAUUUAUAAAACUUGGAUAGUUAUCUCUGAUUUUGAAUAUUAAAUGUUAUUAAAAAUCAGAAAAUAGUAGGGUGCAUUUUACUUUGUUUAAAAUGCUAUUUUUGAAUAUAUUUCCUAAUAAAGGACAAAACCCCUCCACUUUAAAAAUGCAGGAUAGCUUUUCUGGCUGUAUUAAUUGCUGCAGUUAAAGAAUUCGCAAAAACAGUCAGCAUAAGAUUUGCAAAUAUUAAACUUCUAUAUUUUAGAAAUUAGUUCAUAUAUAUAUCUUCUGUGGAAACUAGGCUCUAUUAGAAACUGUUGUGGUCUUUUUAAUUGGAAAAUUCUGCUGAAUAGAAAAUAAUUUUAAGGUGCUUCCUUGGACCAGGAAAGAAACCCAAGCAAAACCAGAAAGAUUUUGUAGCUCCCAUUAUCUAGACUCCUAUCUGCUAUAAAGAAAAAAAAAAAAAGGAGAAUAUGGAUUGGGUUACAGCUUUACAAAUAGCAUGUAAAUUUUUGAAUAUUUCCCUCAUAUAAGUCUCUUUUCCAAAGCUUUUCUAUUGUACUGUUCAAUUUAAAUAGAUAGUCAAAGAAUCAAUAUAAUACAGAAAUGAACAUUUCCUCUUCCUUAAAUGUAAAAGCACCUUAUGUAUUGAGCUAUUCUAAGAAUGUUUUCUUGGAAAAAAUUUUAACACAAGACUUCUGAAAUUUUGUUUUCCUCACAGUGGACAACAGAAAAGUGUUUAAAAUAUGUUCACAGAGAACAUACCUCUUGCUCAGCUCUACUAAGAGCUAAUACCUUUGUUGCCUAUAUUUGAGAUCUGUUUGGGUUAAGAGUAUCACAGUUCCUUGAAUUGUGAAAAUUUACAAGUAUCAAAUACCUAGCCAAUUAUUCUGGAGCUUACAAUUAAAUUACUCUCCUCUGUUCAAAAUAUGACAAGAAGCCCAAUAACUAAGUCAGAAUUUCUUUGCCUCCCAACUCACUAAUGAUUUGAAGAGUGCACAUUUUUAAUUUAAGCAAUACAGUUUAAUGUCAAAACAAUUCCGGUGUCACACUGACAGGUAUUAUCUUAUUUAUGUACAGUAAGUAAGACAGAAAUAAAAAGAGUUAUUGUGUUC